rnacentral:rRNA from 1 species
CAGCAGCCGCGGUAAUACGAAGGUCCCGAGCGUUGUUCGGAAUCACUGGGCGUAAAGGGAGCGUAGGCGGCGUGGUAAGUCAGAUGUGAAAUCCCGGGGCUCAACCCCGGAACUGCAUCCGAUACUGCCGUGCUAGAGGAUUGGAGAGGUAGCUGGAAUUCUUGGUGUAGCAGUGAAAUGCGUGGAGAUCAAGAGGAACACUCGUGGCGAAAGCGAGCUACUGGACAAUAUCUGACGCUGAGGCUCGAAGGCCAGGGUAGCGAAAGGGAUUAGAGACCCCAGUAGUCCCUGUCUCUUAUAC